rnacentral:lncRNA from 1 species
UUUUUUUUUUUUUUUUUUUUUUUGGCUGCCCCGCAGCAUCUGAGGUUCCAGGGCCUGGGAUCAGAUCCAAGCCACAGAUGUGAGCUGACCCACAGUUGUGGUAACAUCAGAUUCUUAACCAACUGUGCUGGGCCACAGAUUGAACCUAUGUCCCUGCGCUCCCAAGACACCACCAAUCCCCUUGUGCCACAGCAGGAACUCUGACAAAUCAUUUUACUGAUGGGUCAUGGAGAAUUUAAUUUCAGGCAGCUUUCGAUUGAGAGUUGUCAUCUGCCCAUCACUUUACAAGGUGACGAUGUGGAGAAUAACAGAAAAUGUAUGUAGUCAUUCCUUGUGGAAACUUUAAUCUAUUUGAGAUCUCUUGAAUUCUAUUAGUGUAUCCUAAACGUGGAUGCUUGUCUAUGGAAUUUGUGUUGCCCUUUUUUCUUCAUUAUUUAAAAAAUGUUUUAUUUGAAAUACCACUUUGCAAUGGUUUACAUAUUUUUUUAAGAUUUGCUAUGCCAGAAAUCUGUUUCUACAGUCACAACUUCUAUUUUACCUAGCUUAGCUUUUUUGUUUCUUUCUUUCACGUUUUAACAUUUGGAAGGUCUACAAUAUUCCCGUUCCAUUUCACACCUUUUCACAACUUUUGAGGGGGGUAAUCUCAAUUGUACAAGAAUUCUAAAUUAAUGUUAAAAUCAUAUUACUGUAUUCUCCAAAAUAUUCAGAAUUAAGUAAGUUGAAUUGGGAAGAAAUCACACCUUCAAUAUUUGUUUGACCUUUUGACUUAGGUAUAUGCUUUUGUGUCCAUCCAUUCAUGUUUAUUCUUAAGCCUCUCAAUAAUACUGGUCUUCUUCCAUAAAAUUUCUCAUUAAAAUAUUACAGAGAUAAAUUUUUUUCAAGAUAGAAAAUAUGAAAUAUCUACUAACUAUUUACUAGGUUUUUGAAUUUACUUGUUUUGUAUUAUAUGCUCUACUUCACAAAUUUCCUCAGUUUUUAGUAAUCUUUCCCUUUAGGCCUUUGCAGGCUUUUUCUUAUAAACAUCUUUAUGGCGCUAUAUUUUUUAAACACUCAUCUAAAUGCAUCACGAUAUUACUUUUAAGUCAUGAAGAAAGUGGCUCUCCAUGCAGCUCAGCCAUGCUGAUGGGUUUCCCCAUAUUUCAGCCUGGUUCAAUGACCUUAGGAAAUGGGCACCAGAAUGCAGAGCCCAGGAUACAUUUAUUUCCCCCUUUGCUCUCACUGCUAUUUCAUUAGGAAAAUAAGAAAGGAAGGAAAGAAGGAAGGAAGGAAGAAAGGAAGGAAGGAAGGAAGGAAGGAAGGAAAGAAGGAAGGAAGGAAGGAAAUACUUAAUUUUUUAACCAUAAUUAGGUAUGAAUUUGAAAUUUAUAAAGAUAAUGGAGUGCAAGAAAGUCAUUGCCUGGGAAGCUUCUGGAAGCUUCCAAAGUUGCUCUCUUCUCUCCCUGGGCCUGAAGGAUGGUCCCAAAGGAUUUGCACCACAUAUUUGGUCCUAUGCUGACUACAUGGCUUUUUCUAGCCAUCAGGCAGUCGCGUGUUCCCUGCCAACUUCUCAAACUACAGAUUGUUUUAGAUGCUGCUGGUGGCUGUGCUUCUCUCCAGGGAAGCCCAUGAGUGGGUGCAGGGGGUUCUGCUGACUUAUUUCUCAAAGAGAAGUGUCUCAGAGAAUUCGAUAUUCAAAUACAACAUGCAAUGUGAUGUUGAAAUGCUGAUCUAAAUAUAAAAGUACUUUCAAAGUUGUAAGGCAUUAAGAAUACCUGCAGGCACUGAAGACUCUUUAAUCCUGUGGCCACCAAUCCUCAGCAUAGGAUUUGGAUUGGUCUUCCUUUUUCCCACAAUACCUUGCUUCAAUUUGGGAAGGGGAUCUCAAUCAGAUAAAUUACCUUCAAACUACAAUUUUCAGCCUGCCAUCCUUUAGCAUAAAUGUGUUCAGUGGUUCCCUAUAAAACAUAGAAUAAAAUCCCAACUCCUUGCCAUGCCAUAUAACUCCCAUGAGUUCCCCUGAGAAAUUUUACUCCAGCACAGUGGUUUUUGGCUGGGGGUAAUUUUACCCCCAGAUAGCACAUUUGGUUGUCAAAGCUUUGAGGGGAGGAGAUUGACAGGCAUUUAUAGUUGGUAUGAAUUAGGGAUGCUGCUACAUAAUCUACAAUACCCAAGACAAUUCCCCAUAAAAAAUUAUACUCUCAAAUGUCAACAGUGUUGAGAUUGGGAAACUCUGCUCUAGAUAAAUGGAGCUUGAUGGUGUCCCUAGAAUUUCCAUGCACAGUGCCCUACCAUACAGCCUCAGCUUUCCAUCUUUAAAUUCCAGAGCAAUGAGGUCCUGCUGUACAGCUCAGGGAAGUAUAUCCAAUCUCUUGGGAUAGAACAUGACAGAAGAUAAUACAAGAAAAAGAAUGUACAUAUAUGUAUAACUGGGUCACUUUGCUGAACUGCAGAAAUUGAUAUAACAUUGUAAAUCAAUUAUAAUUUUUUUUAAAAAAGGUAUAACUCCUAUCUUGACUUCUACCAACUCUCUAAAGCCUUUCAAAAUGCUCCUUCUCUCUCUUGACGUUUUAUAGUCUGUAUUAGUCCCAUUCCUGUGUUACUUUUCUUGAAUGUGCAUUCUUGAAGUCUAAAGUAUCUAUCCCCCCUCUCUCAUAUUCCCCCAGUACUCUACAUAUAAUAGGUGCUAAAAAUAUUUGUUGUUUGAUUGGACACAGGGAAAACAUUGCUUGUGACAGUGGCCUCCCUUUAUAGCCAUGUCACUCCACUUAUUAUAUAAUUUGAUUGCAGCUCCUGUAGUCAUUGAAUUUCUAAUAUGUAGACUCAAGCACAGUUCCUUUGUUUGAAGACACUGACAGUUUAACCAGGCCCACUGCUCAAGGAAGUGUAAUGGAAUAUUGGUGAUCAGGUACGGCCCCAUCUCCCCUUGUCAAGCCUAUUGGCCUGUUAUUAUCCUAAAUGAGUGACCAUGUGGAGCAAAUCACUAACAUGAAGGACAAGGCAGAAUUACCAGGGGAGAAAGCAUGAAAUAGAAAUGCUUUAUUUAAUCUAGAAUGAUAUGGAAAUGUUUCAUCUGAUGCCAGCCUGCAGUUUGAAACAACCUCGGCCUCAUUAUUUAGAACCACUAACAUGAAUGUGUCUUUGCAUAGAGAGGUUGCUAAGAAGACUCAAACAACAUGCAAGUGGGAUUGGAUCUGUUCUGCUCUCUUAAUCUACCAAGCAUGUAUGGAGCCUCUCCUUCUUAGAAUGCAUGCAUGUGCAGUGCCUGGCCUCAUGGACAAAAUAAAGAUCCUCUCAGGGAACAUACAAUCUGGUGGGGAUGAAAGUUAAGAUAGGAUGAGUGGUAGUAAAAUGGAAUUCUGUAGGUGCUCCAGAGAUAGAAUAACCAGGUUUAGCAAGCGAAUAAGGUGUCACUUUUAAGACCCUUCAAAAACAAGAAACUGGAGGGAUUUGUGUUUAAUAUCCUUUAAAAUUAUUUUUGUUAAGGUAUAUUAAUUUUCUAUUACAACAAAUAACCAUAAACUCAGUGAAUGUACCAUUGUAUAGUUUUGUAAGUCAGGAAACUGACAUGGGUCUUGCUGGACUAAAAUAAAGGUGUCAUCAGGGCUAUAUUCUUUUCUGGACGCUCUAGGGAAGAAUCUGUUUCCUUGCCUUCUCCAGAUACUAAGCUGCCUACAUUCUUUGACUCAUGGACCCUUUCCUCCACUUUCAAAGGCAGUAGUGGUGGGUUGAGUCCUGCUUAGGUUUCAAUGUUUUAACUCACUCUCCUUCUAUCCGUUCCAAAUUUUAAGGACUCAAUAUGUACAGACUUGCCCACCCAAAUAGUCCAGGAUAACCUCCCUACCACAGUGUUCUUGAUUAUUUCUGCAAAAAUCUCUUUUGCCAAAUAAGGAAUAUAUUCAAAACCCCAGGGAUUAAGUUGUGACUCUAGAUAUGUGGGUACAUUUUUGGACACUCUAUUCUGCUCCACUGGCUUAUUUGUCUAUCCUCUUGCCAAUAUAUCACAUGGACACUAGGAUCAUGAAUGGAAUAACCAUACACUGAAUUCAGACCAAUAGUACUUUCAUUGGUUAGAACAACCAACAUGUUUUUAUGAUAACUAGUAUAAUUAUUCCACCCCAUGCUAAGGAGAUCUUAAGCAUCAAUAUUUACAUUAUAAAUUCCUUGAGGAGAGCAAUUUUGUUGCCUCUCUUGUAAUUGCCCACUUUAUACCUAGUAGAAAAUUAAUAUUGAUUAUAUCAAACUGUGGUGUUUCUCAACCAAUAGAUAAAGAAUAAUGUUGUUAGGAUAUUUAAAGGGCUAGAAACUUGCUGAGAAACAUCCAUUAAAAUGUAGACACAUUUUAAGUAAAACAAACAAAAAUCCUGUGAUUAGGCUCAAAGACUGAGACUCAGGGAUAUUGUCCUGGCAUUGCAUGCAAAGUUGCUUUACACAUCCAGCAAGUCACUUCAUCUUUUGGUGUUCUGUUGACCUCUCUAUAAAAAGAGAAACGUGGUACUGUAACAGUAUUUCAACUUUAUAGGACUACUGUGAGACUGAAUUAAAAAGAAGACUCCAAGAAGAAAACCUUCAUUUGAAAAGCUAAGACUUUAGCUAAGAUGUUAAACAUACAUACAUAUGCAAUUCACUGUUAAGUCCACAUUUCUUUGUGAAAUUAUUAUUGAUCUAUUUGGUGAAGAGUCUAAGAUCCUGAAAGAUACUCGAGAACAAUUAAAUCAGCAACAGGGGACUAAACUAAUUUUAAAACAAAUUUAGAGUUCAUUGUGUCUUUAAGUGAAAACUUUAGAUUAUAUUAUGAAUAUCUACAGCAACUCUCUAUUAACCAAAGCCCUCCUUUCAGUAAUUUGGCCACAGAAAUGGAUGUGAGUAAAACUCACACGUGCUUAAAUUGUUGAGUCUUUCUUCGGACUUGUCUGGUUUAAUUGAGUAUGCCCUUAAAUUCAGAAUCAAUGGUGGUUAGAAAAGGUACAGUCUAAAAAAAUACUUACAUAACACAGAGAUAAAGUACUCAAUAAAUUUAUAAAUGAAUGAAAAAUGGUUCCUUUCUCUGUGUUCCCAGUGUUCUAUGUUGUAUGAGUUGCAUAUCUUAUUGUGAUCAUUUAUUUACAUGCUGUUCCCUCCUGGACUGUGAAGUCCAGAGCAGUGGAAACUCCUUUAAUCAUCUGGCAUCCCAAAUGCCUGAUACAUACAUAGAUACUUAAAAUACAUCUCUCAGACAAUGCUGAUAGACUCUUUACAAUAACUUCAUAAUAAGGGCUCCUUUAAGGCUUUGACUAAGACAAUCCAGGGCCAAGUGGGAGAGUAUUAAUUAGCAUAUUGUGUUGGCCAGUGAAUGUUUACAAGUGAAAGGGGAUUGAUGGGGAGGAGGAAUUCCCUCACAAAGGUAGGAAAACUAUUAAGAAAUCAGUUCUGUAUAGAAAGACUGUCAACUUUCCACCAUAAACAACUAACCCCAUUUCCUCUGGAUAGGCAUUCUGAACUAAAUGAAUAUUUAUGGACAUGCAAUAGAUAAUGGGGGCUGUCUUUGCCAUGAAAUGAAUGUAUAUCUUUUAUGUAUCCCAUCCAUUAGGAUGAAUGAACUAGCCACUUGUCUAGCUGAAUUGGUCUGGGCAUUUGUUCUCUUCUUAACAUUGGCCGAAAUGUUGAUGUUUUGUCUCUGGCAAUGAAACCCACCAGAAACACGACACUGUGGUUUAAAGGUCCAUGCUAUACAGGUGACCCUUCUUGAGGGGAAAGAUGCAGCACAGAAUGCUCUCUCAUCUCCUGUGUUAUUAGCUGGCAGUAAAGGUGGGAUAAUAUCAGAUGAAAUAAAAAGAAACUGAGAGGGCUGAGUCAUUUUUUUUUAAAUUGUCAUUUUCUUUAGACACCACUGCACAUGGCUUAAUUAACAGCAGCUGGGGAGGACCGUGUAAGAUGAACUUGGCUUCCCUGGAAUGACUCAGUAUUCUGCAUGUCCACUGCAUGUCUAAUUAAGCCUAGAGCAUGGUGUCCAAAGGAUGGAACAUUGGUAUUAUUUCAAGCAAGAGGCUAGCAGAGGUGGAACAUGAUACUUAUAUUUGCUGAUGAAAGUUAAGGUACAGAAAACAGAGCUAUCCCAUUUAUGAAGCUUCUGCACUAGGCACUAUAUACAUUAGUUGAGGUAAUUAUCAUAAACACUUUUUAAAGAGCAAUAUUAUUAUUUCUCCAAUGCGAAUAUUAAAACUUAGAGAUUAAGCCCUUGUCAGUUACAUCAUUUGAAACUAAUUUCUCCCUUACAUUCUGUAAGUUGUCUUUUUGUUUUCUUUUGGGUUUCCUUUGCUGUGAAAAAGCUUGUCAGUUUGAUUAGGUCUCAUUGAUUUAUUUUUGCUCUUAUUUCUGUUGCUUUGGGAGACUGACCUGAGAAAAUAUUCAUGAGGUUGAUGUCAGAGAAUGUUUUGUCUAUGUUCUCUUCCAGGAGUUUGAUGGUGUCUUGUCUUAUAUUUAAGUCUUUCAACCAUUUUGAGUUUAUUUUUGUGCAUGGUGUGAGGGUGUGUUCUAGUUACACUGAUUUGCACAUAGCUGUCCAGGUUUCCCAGCAAUUCUUGCUGAAUAAACUGUUUUUUCCCCAUUUUAUGUUCUUACCUCCUUUGUCAAAGAUUAAUUGACCAUAAGUGUUUGAGUUUAUUUCCGGUUCUCUAUUCUGUUCCAUUGGUCUAUAUGUCUGUUUUGGUACCAGUACCACACUGUCUUGAUGACUGUGGCUUUGUAAUAGUACCUGAAGUCUGGGAGAGUUAUGCCCCUGCUUGGUUUUUGUUCCUCAGGAUUGCUUUCUCAAUUCUGGGUCUUUUGUGGUUCCAUGUAAAUUUUUGGAUUGUUUGUUCUAGUUCUGUGAAAAAUGUAAUGGGUAAUUUGAUUGGGAAAGCAUUGAAUCUGUAGAUUGCUUUGGGUAGUAUAGCCAUUUUUACAAUAUUAAUUUUUCCAACCCAGGAGCAUGGAAUAUCCUUCCAUUUCUUUACAUCUUCUUCAAUUUCCUUGAUUAAUGUUUUAUGGUUUUGGCAUAUAAGUCCUUUACCUCCUUGGUCAGGUGUAUUUCCAGGUAUUCGAUUUUGGGGGGUGCAAUUUUAAAAGGUGCUGUAUUUUUGUAUUCUUUUGCUAAUAUUUCAUUGUUAGUAUACAGAAAUUUGAGUGAUUUCUGAAUGUUCAUCUUAUAUUCUGCUACUUUGCUGAAUUUGCUGAUCAGUUCAAGUAGUUUUUGGGUUGAGUCCUUAGGGUUUUCUAUAUGUAGUAUCAUGUCAUCUGCAUACAAUAACAGUUUUAAUCUCUUCUCUUUCUAUUUGGAUGGUUUUUAUUUCUUUUGUUUGUCUGAUUGCUGUGGCUAGGACUUCCAGCACUAUGUUGAAAAACAGUGCUGAGAGUGGGCAUCCUUGCCUUGUUCCAGAUUUUAGUGGUGAGACUGAAUAUCCUUGUCUUGUUCCAAUUUUCUCCAUUGAGUGUUAUAUUUGCUGUGGGUUUGUCAUAAAUGGCUUUGAUUAUGUUAAGGAAUGUUCCCUCUAUACCCACUUUGGUGAGAGUUUUUAUCAUUAAUGGAUGUUGGACUUUGUCAAAUGCUUUUUAUGCGUCUAUUGAGAUGAUCAUAUUUUUUUGACUUUUCUUGUGUUAAUUUGGUGUAUAACAUUGAUUGAUUUGCAUAUGUUGAACCAUUCUUAUGAACCUGGGAUGAAUUUCACCCGCUGGUGGUAUAUGAUCUUUUUUAUAUGUUGUUGGAUUCGGUUAGCUAAAAUUUUGUUGAGAAUUUUUGCAUCUAUAUUCAUCAAAGAUAUUAGCCAAUAGUUUUCUUUUUUGGUGGUAUCUUUGUCUGGUUUUGGAAUUAUGGUGAUGGUGGCUUCAUAGAAUGUCUUUGGGAGUGUUCUCUCUUCUUUUUGAAAAAUUUUAAGGAGGAUGGGUGUAAGUUCCUCUUUGUAUGUUUGGUAGAAUCCACCUGUGAAGCCAUCUGGUCAUGGACUUUUAUUUGUAGGGAGUGUUUUUAUGAUGUAUUCAAUUUCAUUUCAGUGAUUGGUCUGUUCAGCUGAUUGGUCAGUUUUGGCAGGCUGUAAGACUCUAGAAAGUUGUCCGUUUCUUCUAGGUUGUCAAAAUUUGUUGGCAAAUAACUGUUCAUAGUAUUCUCCUAUGCUUUUUUGUAUUUCUGCUGUAUCUGUUUGGACUUCUUUUUCAUUUCUUAUUUUGUUUAUUUUGGUUUUUUUUUUCUCUUCUUCUUGGUGAGUCUAGCCAGAGGUUUAUCAAUUUUGUUAACCUUUUCAAAGAACCAGCUCUUGGUUUGAUUGAUUUUGUCUAUUGUUUUUUGAAUCUUUAUUAUAUUGAUUUCCUCUCUGAUCUUUAUGAUUUCCUUCCUUCUGCUGACUUUAGGUUUUUUUGGUUGUUGUUCUUCUUUUUCUAAUUUAUUUAGGUGGUGGGUUAAGUUGUCAAUUUGAGGUUUUUCUUCUUUUUUUGAGGAAGGCCUGUAUUGCUAUGAACUUGCCUCUGAGCACUGCUUUUGCUGCAUCCC